rnacentral:tmRNA from 1 species
AGGGAACUGAUUACUCAACCAAGGUGACUAAUGAUUUGUAAGCAGCGCAGUUUGGAAAGUGAUGUGUGUGCUCUCAUUCCACCCUAUUUAAGAGGGAGACAAACUCUGAGUUGUGCAUCUACUCUUUCUGCUUCUGAGAAGAGCAUUGUUUUAACCCUUUACAAUGCAGACCUUCCAGCUUGACACUGAGCGCCUCUGCCAGGCAGCUAAGCUGUACCAGCACACCAAGUCUGACUUUGGCCUGAAUGGCAUGAUCCAGCUUUCUGGUUCAUGUAAUAAUAUGUCACUAUCUGUACUGGGAUCGAUUGGAGGCUGUGCUAUUCUGAGAUUGGAAUUGUUGGAGGCUGCCCGGCUCCAUUCAUCUAAAGACAGCUCCAAGUCUGCCAUUUACAGCUUUCGUAACGCAAGCUCCCUUGGAAGAGAAUUUACUCAUGGUGGAGAACUCUUUGGCCCCAAAAUGGAAUCUGCCUCCCUGUCUUUUUAUGGCCAUCAUGGAGUGAAAUAUGUGGAGGCACAAUUUGUGCAUGACAGCAGCAGCAAGACUGUACAUACUGCUGCUAUGCAGCCCAUCACCAUACCACCUUCGUGUGCCUUUGAUGAUCGUGAGGCCAAUGGUAUAGUGACAUUGUCAACAAAAACUGCAGCGGCGCUGGUCAAGUGGUUGAAGCAGCAUACAAAAACCUGCCAGUCACCAGUUAAGGUUUCUAUCAGUGAAAUCUUGGGUGUGAUGGUUCUUUCAGUUGGAGAUGCUAGCAUGACUGUUGAUGUCACUCCGGUGAAUGUUUCAUCUGGCAAGAAGACACGGGGUGGGAAUAAGGCUAGUGACUCUGGGACUAUCUCUGCAGACGCAACGGUGCAUGUUAAUGGACAUUGUUUGAUUAGAUCUUUGAUUGUAUGUAAAGUUCCUGGGUGUACAACUCCAAGAGUCAAGUUUCACGCCUGUGGCAUAUUAGAGGUAGAUGGGGCCCCCGUUAAACAGGGCGAGUUGACACAGGUAAAAUUGUCAGUGGCCCUCCUGAACGUGGACUCUUCAACUGGCAGAGUUUUGAAGGAACCUGUGGUGACUGGAGCAAGUAAAGAUCGAGGGGCUUCAAAGUCAGAAGACGCGGACGGUAGCCCUCCAGUACCAGAUCAUCCCAAAGAAUCCCUCACUAGCGACUCUGAUUCCUCAGUUCCUGGGCCACGAAGUACUGACCUUUCCUCUCUUACCCACACCCCUUCAGAUAGAUUUUCGAGCGACCUUAGAUCAGGGUGUGGGGGGCAACAGUUCCUCAAGAGACCACCCCCUAAGAAAGACAGGGAACCCACCACUAAGCGCCCCAAGCUACAUUUUAACCACUUCCCAUAAAUGAAGAGUCAUUGGUCAGACGUGUUCCUCCCACUCAUUGUGGGAGGAAUGUCUGCUGUUCCCUUUAUCUGGUGUUUAAUUUUUAGAACCCUUUACCUACCAAUAGAAUGUGACUGGAGAUGCUGGAUUUUUGUAUAUGGAUCAAUGAUUUGGCACAUAACCAUGUUUAUGUCACUAUUGUUUAAACAUAAACAUGGGAUGAUUGGCUGGUUUAAGUUGUGUAGUGCAGUUGCCAUAUGUCUGAUUAUAGUUUUGGCUCUUUUAGAACAAUACUGCCCAUAUGAGAUGUACAUUGUUCCUGUUAUAUUCAUAAUAAAUAUAGUUUUGCUUUCCA